GGGUCGUUAGCUCAGUUGGUAGAGCAGUUGACUUUUAAUCAAUUGGUCGCAGGUUCGAAUCCNNGAAUCCCGCACGACCCACCA
rnacentral:tRNA from 1 species